rnacentral:rRNA from 1 species
UACGUAGGUGGCAAGCGUUGUCCGGAAUUACUGGGGGUAAAGGGCGUGUAGGCGGGACUUCAAGUCAGAUGUGAAAUUCCCAGGCUCAACCUGGGGGCUGCAUCUGAAACUGUGGUUCUUGAGUGCUGGAGAGGAAAGCGGAAUUCCUAGUGUAGCGGUGAAAUGCGUAGAUAUUAGGAGGAACACCAGUGGCGAAGGCGGCUUUCUGGUCAGUAACUGACGCUGAGGCGCGAAAGCGUGGGGAGCAAACAGG